rnacentral:rRNA from 1 species
GACGAACGCUGGCGGCGUGCUUAACACAUGCAAGUCGAACGAAGAGCGAUGGAAGCUUGCUUCUAUCACUCUUAGUGGCGAACGGGUGAGUAACGCGUAAUCAACCUGCCCUUCAGAGGGGGACAACAGUUGGAAACGACUGCUAAUACCGCAUACGAUCUAAUCUCGGCAUCGAGGAUAGAUGAAAGGUGGCCUCUACAUGUAAGCUAUCACUGAAGGAGGGGAUUGCGUCUGAUUAGCUAGUUGGAGGGGUAACGGCCCACCAAGGCGAUGAUCAGUAGCCGGUCUGAGAGGAUGAACGGCCACAUUGGGACUGAGACACGGCCCAGACUCCUACGGGAGGCAGCAGUGGGGAAUCUUCCGCAAUGGACGAAAGUCUGACGGAGCAACGCCGCGUGAGCGAUGACGGCCUUCGGGUUGUAAAGCUCUGUUAAUCGGGACGAAAGGCCUUCUUGCGAAUAGUGAGAAGGAUUGACGGUACCGGAAGAGAAAGCCACGGCUAACUACGUG